rnacentral:rRNA from 1 species
CCUACGGGUGGCAGCAGUGAGGAAUAUUGGUCAAUGGCCGGAAGGCUGAACCAGCCAUGCCGCGUGAAGGUCAGUGCCCUAUGGGCGUUAAACUUCUUUUGUGCGGGAGCAAUAAUGGGCACGUGUGGCCAGACGAGAGUACCGUACGAAUAAGCAUCGGCUAACUCGGUGCCAGCAGCAGCGGUAAUACGGGGGAUGCAAGCGUUAUCGGGAUUUAUUGGGGUUAAAGGGAGAGUAGGCUGAGAGGUACGUCAGCGGGGAAAUGCCCCCGCUCAACGGGGUGAAGUGCGAUUGAUACUGCCUUGCUGGAAUGCGGAUGCCGUGGGAGGAAUGUGGGGUGUAGCGGUGAAAUGCAUAGAUAUCACACAGAACACCGAUUGCGAAGGCAUCUCACGAAUCCGCGAUUGACGCUGAUGCACGAAAGCGUGGGUAUCAAACAGGAUGAGAUACCCGAGUAG